ACCGGCGGCUCGAGUGGUAACCGUUAUUAUUGGGUCUAAAGGGUCAGUAGCCGGCCUGAUAAGUCUCUGGAGAAAUCCGGCAGCUUAACUGUCAGACUUGCUGGAGAUACUAUCAGACUUGAGGCCGGAAGAGGUUAGGGGUACUUCCGGGGUAAGGGUGAAAUCUGAUAAUCCCGGGAGGACCACCUGUGGCGAAGGCGCCUAACUGGAACGAACCUGACGGUGAGUAUCGAAGGCCAGGGGCGCGAACCG
rnacentral:rRNA from 1 species